rnacentral:rRNA from 1 species
GACGAACGCUGGCGGCGUGCUUAACACAUGCAAGUCGAACGGGAUUUAGUAGACAGAAGCCUCGGCUAAAGAUUACUAAUGAGAGUGGCGAACGGGUGAGUAACGCGUGAGCAACCUGCCUAUGACAGUGGGAUAGCCUCGGGAUACCGGGAUUAAUACCGCAUAAAAUCGUAGAAACACAUGUUUUAACGGUCAAAGAUUUAUCGGUCAUAGAUGGGCUCGCGUCUGAUUAGCUAGUUGGUGAGAUAACAGCCCACCAAGGCGACGAUCAGUAGCCGGUCUGAGAGGAUGAACGGCCACAUUGGAACUGAGACACGGUCCAAACUCCUACGGGAGGCAGCAGUGGGGAAUAUUGCACAAUGGGGGAAACCCUGAUGCAGCGACGCCGCGUGAACGAAGAAGGUAUUCGUAUCGUAAAGUUCUGUCCUAUGGGAAGAUAAUGACAGUACCAUAGAAGAAAGCGCCGGCUAAAUACGUG